CGAAGGCGUUUGGCCUAAGUCCCAGUUCAACUGAAGUUGAACUUAUUGAAUUUGAUGGUGAAGGCACGUGGCCUUAUAGUUCAAGCGAGGUCAAACUUGUUGACUUUAACGUCGAAGGCGCUUAGCCUGAGUCACAGUUCAACUAAAUUUGAACUUAUUGAAUUUGAUGGAAAAGGCACUUGGCCUUAUUGUUCGAGUGAGGUCGAACUCAUUGAGUUUAACGUCGAAGGCGCUUAGCCUGAGUCUCAGUUCAACUGAAGUUGAACUUAUUGAAUUUAAUCGAUCCAAUGCCACGGGCCUUAGGUGCCAAGUCUCGGCUUUGAUUUGGGUUCUUAUAUAACUUAUAUGUUGUCCUUAAUUUAGAGUUUCAAAUUCAAAAAAUAAG
rnacentral:lncRNA from 1 species